AGCAAAUUUUUUAUUUUUUUAUUUUUUUUACCAGGUGCUGGUAUGUUUUUCAUCUCACCUCCAUGAACCAAGACAGACAUCAUGUAUCGAGAACGAUUCAUCCAAAAUAAGAGCCCUGUUUGUGAUGAAUCUUUACACACUUCCUACAGAUUUUAUCAACGUCUCUCAUCGUUGUGGAGGCGUUUCUACCUACUCUUCAUCGUUAAAACAUUUCUCCCAUGAUCACUUUUGACCAUCCUCACAUUUGGCUUUAGAAUACUUUGAAAUACAGAUAAGUUCAUGAUUAAAAGCUGCAAGAAAUCAUGUUAAUGCAAAAAAAAAAAGAAAAGAAAAAGAAGAAGAAAAACAGGCCAAAUCAUCACCCCUUCAUCACCAAGCUUAAAGGGUUAAGAUCCAUAAGACACUCCAGGAGCAGCAUGAGCGCAGCAGGGAGCUGCAGGGCCUGCGGAGAGCAAGCAUGGGCCAGAAUAACACUCUGACAGUACAUUAACCUUGUUUAAAAGUAAGAAAUUUCACUGUAUUAACGUCUUAACCCAAAAUAUUUAACAAAAAUAUAACAUGUCAUAAUGGCUUUCAUUGAAAAUCCAACACAGCUUCACUAGAAAACACAAGGCAACAACAAUACCGGUGGCUGGUAAAAUGGUCUAUCAUUCUGAUUAUUAGUUCUAAAACUGUCGUCUAUAACCUCUGUUCAUUGUUACUUUCAUUUUGACUUUCUGACCUAAAUAAAAAUAUGACGCACUCAUUAAAGCGCCUGCUGCGAAGAAUAUUAUGUCUUCUUGCUGUAUAAAAAACUGACUGUAGCUUGGUAUUUAACAGGGCAAUAUGUUGGGGUUACUAGGGUUACUAGGGACAUGGGGUGUCCAAACUUUUCCUCACGUGGGCCAAAUGUUCCCGAGGGCCCAAAAUAUUAUAACAUCAAAUAAAAUGACCAAAAAAAAUAAUUUUGUCAAUUUGUUUUUACAUUUUCCAUGAAAUAUGAGAAAGCAAUAAAACAAUUAGUCAGAUUUUCUGUUGGAAAGGGAUGAGUAAAUCAUAGCAGAUCCAAAACUCAAAUAGGCCCUUUGCACUUUUGCCUUCUUAAAAUCUUUUGGGCCUGACUGAAAAAAAAGUCUAUUCUCAGCAAAAGGAGCAGGAUUUUGGUCUUUCUUUCUGUGAAAACUCUUCCUUCAUUUAGCCAGUUUUAAUAAAUGAAUCAAAAGCAGAUUUUGGUGGACCGAAGUCUUCAUCUGAGUAAACAUCAUUGGAUAAAUGAGGUCCUAUUUACUACGAAAUUAAAGAGAAUGUAAAAAGUUUGAUUCCUAAAAGACAAAUACUUGGUGUUGCACCUAACAUGUUCAAUUGUAAGAAAAUUUUAACCUGUGUGUAAUAAUUUUGCCCCAGGUAAAAAUAAAAGGCCUCCAUCUGCAUCUACCACGUGACAGUGAGCUUAAUCACUCUGGAAUUGCAUUUGGCGGCCACACAAAAUCAGUCCAGGGGCCACAAAUGGCCCCCGGGCAGCACUUUGGACACCAAUGCGCUAAAGUGUGGCGAGUCUGCCUCUGCUUAGAGUCCACAACAUGACUGUCCAUCACCCUUUUUCUGUUUUGUAAGCAUCCUAGCAUCCCAGCUGCCUAUCCUCCACCUGCGGCUGCACACCAUCACUCCACUGGAAAAAAAAAAAAUGCCACCAAAAUUCUUCCUGCUUACAAUACAAACAGUGUCUUGUAAUAUCAUUAGGAAAUAUUUACAUUUGUAAAAAAAAAAAAGAAGAAGAUGAGCAGCCGUGGCAAGGAAACUAAUGGAGCACCGCUAUUCUUCAUAAUGAAAG